CUCCCUGUAGUUCAAUGGAUCAGAAUACUAGUUUACGAAGCUUGAGAUACCUGUUCGAAUCAGGUCAGGGAGUCCA
rnacentral:tRNA from 1 species